rnacentral:misc_RNA from 1 species
CGGGUGCUGCCGUGCCACAAAGCACGACCAUGAAAGUAAUGAAAAAGAAAAAGUUAUGUAGUUGGACCAUCUGCUCUAUCCGUUCGAGUUUCGCUUCUCUAGAGAAGGUGAGACGCUAAAAAUGAAAGUGUUCGCAACGCAUACCGAAAGGAUACCAAUGAACCCAGAAAUUUGGUCUUUUUUAUCCGAAAUGGCUACAACUAUUCUAUCUAUAGUUGGGAUAUCUUAUGUUCCACUUGUAGUUCUAAUUCUCUUCCGCGCAGGAAGAAUAAGAGGUUUAAACGCGGACAAUAUGUCCGAAAAGCUG